rnacentral:rRNA from 1 species
UUAUUAAAUACAGGUAAAGCUGCUACGUACUCAAUGGUUGAUAGAUUACUACGGUUGGUCAUAACUCUUCCGGUGUCAACCGCAACACCUGAGCGAGCUUUUUCAGCUAUGAAACUAGUCAAGACACGUCUUCGAAACAGAAUGGGAGACGACUUUCUUCGGCAUUACAUGGUCGUCUAUAUUGGGAAGGAAAUAGCUGCAAAGAUCACGUCUGAUGAGAUAAUCAAUUUGUUCGACACUGGUAGUCGUAGAGCUGAGUUUAAGCUAAUAGAUAUGUAA